ACAGGGAGAAUAGUGGAUGUUGCCUACCUUGACUUCAAGAAGGCUUUUGAAUUUGUCUCCCAUAACAUCCUCCCAGAUGUGCUGCUUGGAAUACAACACAUUUUUUUAGAUUUAGAUGUACAGCACAUACUAUUUGCAAGAAAAGCUCUCAAAGCAGUUUAAGGACCCAUACGUGAUUUCAAUUGCAGAUGUUUUGGUGACCAGAGAAAUCCAAGGCCCAUCUGUGCUGCAGUGAUGUGCACCCUUACUUCACCUGCUCAAACUAGCAGGCUUGUACCAAAUGUGGGGUAGAACAUCUACCUAGUAGUGUCUUGUCAGCAAGUGGACAAGGAUCUUACAGGUUGUAAUUGAGAAAGAAAUUCAGCACCCUUUCUGCUGUGAGGCUGGUUGAGCAUCCUCAGAAGGGAAGCAAAACUUGGCUUGCUGACAGGAGAAUGUGACAAAACUGGAGAAGAAAGCAUCCAAGGCUUAUAGGCUGCAGAGCCAUCUCUUCCCACCACUCUCUGCCAGUCUCUAAGCAGAUGUUGUUCUGCAGGUAGUGCCAGGGGCAGGCUGCUGCUCCAGUUAGAAAAAGCCACUCAGCUUACCUGCUGGAGACAGGAGUUUUGCUAUGACUGUUUCUGCAGCCAGCUCAUUUAUUCUAACUAGAAAAUCCAAUCUCUCCCCCUGGGUAAAAGGACCCAGGAUCAUAGGCUACACAGAUGACUUACUGGAUAAUUGAGAUCUGAGCAUGGCUAGACAGGAAUUGAAGCCACCUGGUUUGCACACAGAUACAGAUUUUCUCUGCCAGGGAGGCAGGCUCAGUGUACACUUCUGAGCAAACAUAGUUUUAUGGCUGCCAAACACCCAGCAGUGGCACACUUCCUUCUUUGUUCUCUGCAAUGCAAAGCCAAUGGGCUGUUUUCUACUUUUGCAGAAGCAAGGAUAAUUGUCUCUUGGUGAAUCUAUACAGCAGCAACAAUAUGUUGAGAAUAGAUAUCAGUCCAGCUCAGAGCAUGGAAUGCAUAAUGAUGCUUCUUCCUCAGCAGACAUCAGCAGGCAUUUGAGCAGUUCCCUCCCAGAACAAUUGGGCAUGGAUACAAAAAGACAUAUAUGUGGAUAAACACUGACCUUAGUCUAUUAGGAGCAUAAACAUAGAAUAAUUACAAGUAAUUAGGCUUCAGAUUAAUAUCACAAAAAUCUUCAGCACUACAACUUCUGUCACCUCUCCUUCAACACCAUCUACAAGUUCUUGUUUCACACUGACUCGCACAGAAGUGUUUAUAAGUAAUAAUGCAAACCCUUCUUGACAGUUCUGAGGUUCUUCUUUUCCAUGUUCCAGCAAGCCCUGCUCAUAAACUAUCAGAGCGGAUGGGAUCACUAUAUGACUGAGGACAGUUAUUUGAUAAGUUUAAUAGAGUAGCGUUAAACGAAACUGAAGAAUAUAGUAACACAAACCAUAGAGCCUUAUUGUCAUUACUGGAAAAAUCAACUUUUGUGUAACAAGCCACACCUUUGAAAAAAACAUUAACUUUUUCCACAAGUGAAAUAUUGGGUGAGUUGGUUGUUGGGAGUAGGUUGUGGUCUGAUAUGCCCAGUAAGUCUUUGGUGGGUAAUUCAUUUGGAUCCUGAACACCUAAACCAGAUGUUUGUAUUUAAUAGGUCGGUGAGUCUCAUAAGCAAGUCAUUAUUUAAUGGUAGAAUUGGGUAUUUCAACAUCUCUCUCUCUUUUUCCACGACCAAGCAGACAUAGUGUCACACAUACAUACUUUUAUCACUUGUGUGCAGCAUAACGUAGGCAUUUAAUAGCUUUUAGAAUUACAUGUAGGAGACUGAUGUAAUUUUUUAGCAGUUUAUGAGAACUCCAACUGUAGGUUUAUAGGAUACAAAAGUUUAAUUAUUCCGUAUCUGGGAUGGAUUCGGAGGUGAAGCAAAAAAGAAAGUCAUGUUUGGAAUAUAACACAUAUAUGACGCAAGUAUCGCAACAGUCAUGUCAUAAGUCCUCCUCCUGAAUAGUUUGAGUCACUGUUGUAUUCAUUAAAUUGCAUUUACAGCUAGAUACUCUGCUGAGAUGUCAGUCUGUCUUUAACUUCAGUCUGGAGUGAAUUUAUUGGGGUAAGCCUGAAUUCCAGAUUGAGUGUUCAUUUUUUUCACUGAAUUAUUUUGAAUUUAUUCCAGUGUUAUAAGGUAGAGUUUGGCCCAUCACACAGUUUCAAGGAUGUUUUCAAACACUGGGUUGUAAGUGAACUUGUGAUCACUAUAAUUUGUGAAGAUCUCUGUUUACCAGCUGAAGUAAGAUUUACAUACAAAUAAGUAGAAAAGAUUCAACAUGUGCAAAUUUUAAGCUUAUGAAAUCUAUUUUGCCUCUUUUUCUCUAUGUCUAGAAGCUGCCAAUUCCUGUUAAAUAAAGGUUUCCAAAGUAACAGGGCAGAAUUUGGCCCCAAAACCACCACAAAGAAAAAAUAAUCCCUAUUCUCAGUAGCAAGUUUAUUUCUGAGUGCUAUAUGUCAAAAUGAAAUCUUACAGUGUCUUUUUUCAGAAGCAUAUCUUUGCAAAAUCUGGAAUUUUAAAGCAGGGAAACCUCUUGACAUUUGGAGACAAUUUUCGAAAAUCGAGGAAUAGUAUCUUAAUAUGGAGAAGAAAAAAAAACAGACAUUUUUAGAUAUGUAAUUUAAUUAAAAUUAGAUAUUUAAGUCCAGUAAUAUAACACAAGUAGACAAAAAUGGUGAGUAGUUUUCUCCCUAUAAAAAUCUGUUGCAAUUAAAGUUGAUGCAGACAGCUCUGGCCAGCACAUUGCUAUGUGCUCAGCAAAGGCAGCUGGAGCCUGGCAGACAAUUCUCCAAAGGCCAUACGCAUGCCUUGUCCCCACACAGCUCCGGUUUGCUGGCCAAGGCACAGAACUGACAAUCCUCCUGGUUCGAACUCAUCUCUUGCACCACAUUAUGUCUUUCUCAAAAUGCCAGCUUCUGAAGUCCUGCUGAGCUGAGAAUCUCAGCUGACAAUAUUUUUUUAAGUAGGUUUCCAGCACACACUAUUACAGGGAAAAGCCUGAAAACAUAGUGUGAGGACAUGCUGAACUCUCAAAAAAAAAGUUUGAAAAAAAUCCUAAAAAACAAGAGGUCUAAUAAAAAGAACAACAGAAGUGUUAUUAUUAUUAUUUUUAACGUAGUCUGAUUUGUUGUGGUCUGCAUCCUGAUUUUUUAAAUGCUUGUGGCUGAGAAUACUGGAAAUAUGUGUGUGCUUCCCUGGGAGAAGUGCUGCAAGGGCUGUGGUAGACUUGUGUUGUUACACAAAAAACAGAAGACAGAAAACCAGUUUCUAUCCAACAGGCAUGCCAUUCACAAUGGUGCCUUAGCAGUAAAGGAAGAAACAAUCUGAUCCAAAGGCAAAGAUAGAUGAGGAACAGAAAGGCAUGUGAUGAGACAGAUCGGAAGCAGAACCUGGGAGACUGGGCCAAAGUAGAAGGGAGAAGAGGACUGGUAAUUAGAAAUGGAUGUGUCUGUAGCCAUGAAAGUGGUCCUUUCAGAAAUCUGGAGAGAGACACAUUCCACACUUGUGUAGUGCAAUGAAACACACUGCUGUGAAAACCAACACUAAAACAUGUGGCAGCUACAUGGCUGACUGUUCUAUAUUCUGAGAUCUAAGUAUUCAAUAUGUGAUAUAGACCAACAGGACGAUUUUUUCCUUCCGGUCUUUGAAUUCAGUCCUAAUGUUGGUAUACUAUUGUAAUGCUUCACAAAUUAGUACUUUUUUCCCCGGAGAACCUCUCUCUCCAACAUAGUCUUGGGUUUAGCAGUAGACAUUAGUAGAAGGUUAAUUAAAGACUUUGAUCACCUUAUCAUGAAGAACUCUGGUGAAGAUAGAGAGAUAAGAAUCCAUUACUGGAGUGUUUUUCAGGCUUCUUGUUGCACUUAAGUUGCCCUUUCUCCUCUUAAAAGUCUCUGUUUUAUUCAUUGACACCUCUCAGCUUCUGUAAAA